AGUGAACGCUGGCGGUAGGCCUAACACAUGCAAGUCGAACGGCAGCACAGUAAGAGCUUGCUCUUACGGGUGGCGAGUGGCGGACGGGUGAGGAAUACAUCGGAAUCUACUUUUUCGUGGGGGAUAACGUAGGGAAACUUACGCUAAUACCGCAUACGACCUACGGGAGAAAGCAGGGGAUCUUCGGACCUUGCGCGAUUGAAUGAGCCGAUGUCGGAUUAGCUAGUUGGCGGGGUAAAGGCCCACCAAGGCGACGAUCCGUAGCUGGUCUGAGAGGAUGAUCAGCCACACUGGAACUGAGACACGGUCCAGACUCCUACGGGAGGCAGCAGUGGGGAAUAUUGGACAAUGGGCGCAAGCCUGAUCCAGCCAUACCGCGUGGGUGAAGAAAGCCUUCGGGUUGUAAAGCCCUUUUGUUGGGAAAGAAAAGCAGCAGGUUAAUACCCCGCUGUUCUGACGGUACCCAAAGAAUAAGCACCGGCUAACUUCGUG
rnacentral:rRNA from 1 species